rnacentral:lncRNA from 1 species
GUUCAGGCCAUCCUGGUCAGUGGUUUCACCUGUGAAACUCCGGGUCGGUCCUUCCUGCCACCCUAAUUUCAGUGAUGUGGGCCUGGACAUGAUACACGAGGUAGGUUGGGACUUCUGCCUCUGGGAGAGGUUUCUUCACCUCCUACUUGUUUUCACAUUGUUUUUUCUCACUGCUGUGACCCACUGCCUGUGCUAGUUAUUGAACGACAUUCUCAGCGCCAAGCCCUCCCUUUCAUGCUCUCUGUUUGCUGAUGCUGGGUCUGGGGUUCUGCAAGCCACAUUUCUGCUUUGUUGAGGAGUCCCCAGCGAACCAGGAAGUAUCUACAAUGGGGAGAGCUGGAGAAGGACUGCAGCCUGAGAAGGAGGAAGGGACACAUUCCUUCUAGUCUCUUCCCAGCAGUUUCCCAUCUGGCUCCAUUCCUGGAGCAGCCCACCACUGGUGCGUCCUCAUCCCAGCAGCACCAGGGACUGAUUCAGCCCCUCACGCCCAGUGCAGCAGAAACAAGAAGCACCGGUGCAAGGACUGUGCUGUCACCUUGGAAAGUGGCUUUCAUCUUUCUUGUUCUGUUGACUCCAGACCUCAGUUUACAAAGCAGAACGUUUCUCUGAGCUGCUGCCUCUUCCAUAGUUUACAGAAUGGUUGUUGGAGAUCACUCCCUCGUGAAACAUUUCUACAAUGGUGCUAAGGCAAGAGGAAUGUACACCAAAAUUCAGAGCUACAGUGGAUGUUAAAGGUUAAUCAAUGGCUUGCUAAAUAUAGAGGCCAUUUUGGAUGAAAUGAUAAUCUUGUGCAUGGGAACCGGAGAUGUUGAACAUCGUUAGAAUGACAGAGCUGUUCGCUGGAGCGGACUCCACUGUGGCAGGAAGAGCAAGAAGCCUGAAGUUGGACGUACUUGGAUUUGAAUCCUGGCUCUGCCAUUGGAAGCUAUAGGAUCCCGGGAGAGUUACGUAACCUCUUGGGCCACACGUUCUUCAUCCGUUAAGUGAGGGAAAUUAUGCCUGCUGGAUUUGGUGUGGGGAUGAGCAAUAAUGCCCCCACAGUGCCUGGCACCAUGCCUGAUCUGUAGGAGGUGCUCAGUAAGUGGAGUUAUGUGGAGUAAAGAAAUUACCCCCAAGAAAUAGCUAUAAGACAUCGAAAUAAAUAUGGAAAGUAAUUUAACAUUUAUACAAGAAUUAACAAAGGAGAAGUUUUAAGAAUAAUUAUGUCAGGAGACUUAAACUGAA